GAAGGGCGGUCCCCCGCGGCGGUUCUUCAGGUCGAUGUCGCGGAUGGCGCCGUAUUUGUAAAACACGUCCUCGAUGUCCUUGGUUCGGAUGUCCGGAGAUACCUCAGAAUCCUUCCACUCAUCCGUUAUCAACCGGGAGCUGGUGACCUUCUGGAGUCAGCCUCUGUUAGAGACAGAUGCAUUGUUUCGGGGAACAGCUGGAGCCUGGGAGUCUUUCAGGCUCAAAAGUAGAAAUCUCUGGUAGAGUUUUUGGGCUUUAGACAAGCAAGUGGAUGCCAAGGAUCUCUUGCAGGGAGAGGUCUUGUCCGCUGUGUGGUGGCCAUAUGUGAUCAUCUGUAGUUCUCCACCACAAGUCUCCCGGUGUGUGUCACUUAUUUUCAUGUAGCCUACAACAAAUGUUAAGCCAUCGAACUCUCAGAAUAAAGAGCGAAUACAUAGAA
rnacentral:lncRNA from 1 species